GUGUUGUAUGAAGGGAGAGAAAGUUAAACUCCCCUUGAUAAGGAUGGAAGAGGUUCUAGUGGCCUUUACAAGACACAAAUGGUUAAAGGGCCUCUUGUUGACUGGAAGAUUGCAAGUAAUGAGCGAGUAAAUUAU
ensembl:snRNA